CGAGCGCACCCACAUCUUUAGUUGCCAGCAGGUUAAGCUGGGCACUCUAGAGAAACUGCCCGUGAUAAGCGGGAGGAAGGUGUGGAUGACGUCAAGUCCUCAUGGCCCUUACGGGUUGGGCUACACACGUGCUACAAUGGCAGUGACAAUGGGUUAAUCCCAAAAAGCUGUCUCAGUUCGGAUUGGGGUCUGCAACUCGACCCCAUGAAGUCGGAAUCGCUAGUAAUCGCGUAACAGCAUGACGCGGUGAAUACGUUCCCGGGCCUUGCACACACCGCCCGU
rnacentral:rRNA from 1 species